rnacentral:rRNA from 1 species
AUUGAACGCUGGCGGCAUGCCUUACACAUGCAAGUCGAACGGUAACAGGUCUUCGGAUGCUGACGAGUGGCGAACGGGUGAGUAAUACAUCGGAACGUGCCCGAUCGUGGGGGAUAACGCAGCGAAAGCUGUGCUAAUACCGCAUACGAUCUACGGAUGAAAGCGGGGGAUCGCAAGACCUCGCGCGGACGGAGCGGCCGAUGGCAGAUUAGGUAGUUGGUGGGAUAAAAGCUUACCAAGCCGACGAUCUGUAGCUGGUCUGAGAGGACGACCAGCCACACUGGGCCGGAGAAACGGCCCAGACUCCUACGGGGGGCAGCAGUGGGGAAUUUUGGACAAUGGGCGCAAGCCUGAUCCAGCCAUGCCGCGUGCAGGAUGAAGGCCUUCGGGUUGUAAACUGCUUUUGUACGGAACGAAAAAGUUCUCUCUAAUACAGGGGGCGAAUGACGGUACCGUAAGAAUAAGCACCGGCUAACUACGUGCCAGCAGCCGCCGUAAAAC